UUUCACGUUUUUUUUUUUUUCCCUCCUUACAAGAGAGCAAGUUUUUGCCGAGGGAGAAUAAAGUUACAAGUGUCUAGCAUUUUGCUGAGAGAGAAUGAAAUUAGAUGCUGAAUGGAGCGGAUAGGAAAGGCUGGGAAAAUGCAAAGUUGGCAGUCAUACCAGGCAGAAUUCAAGCAGCAGAGGAUUUUCUGUGCUCAAGGGAUUUUUGUGGAAGCUGUGGCCUGCAUCAUCCUGCUGAGGAGAACAGUCUCUUGCUCUCAGUGCACAGUUCCCUACUGGAGACAGUGUUAUUUCUUGGCCAUCCCAUCACCUGCCCAUAGAAUGUCUUGCAAAUUUGUGCAGGAACACUCUUUAAGCAUUGGUUAUUCAACUGUUCAAAUGGUGCUGAGACUUCAGACAUAAAAGCCCAGUAAUGAGACAUGUUGGUUUCUUUUGGAAGGCAGGAACUACGACAACAUCGGAUAUGUAAAUGUUAGGAGGUGGAGAAAAGAAGAGAAGAAAGGAGGGGGCAGGUUAAGAUCAGAAGGUUUUACAACAUAUAUUUUGAAAUAUAUUUAUUUGCAAUUAAUAUAUAAAGAAAUCAGUGCUGGGCGGAACUAGCAGUGCUGCUCCUUUAAUUCAGCCAGUGCGUUUGUACAUAUUAAAAACAUUACACAGCAGGGGCUAUAAUUUCACAUGCUGCCAUCUCUAGACCACUACAGCAAAAUACAAAAGAGACAGCAUGUAUGCCAUACCAGUGCAUGUCAUGUAAAAAAAAGGAGAUUGCCUGUAGUAUGUGUGCGUGCAGUAAGAACAGUCCAAACACAGCUCUCCUGAAAUGCUAAUGCUCUCUAAAGCUAAACAAACUUCAGUAAUAUACAACAUGAUUCCAAUUAGUAUCUAGAUCAGAAUAACUUGGCAUUUUCAACUGGCCUUAUACCAGGCAGCUAGUGAGAUGUCAGACAGAAAAGUCCAUUCUCCUUUCUGUGUG
rnacentral:lncRNA from 1 species